UCAAAUCUGAUGAGAAGACUAGUAAAUAUGAAAAGAACACUCAGUCUCAGACGGAUAAUGGAGAAGAAGAGACAAGUCAGAAGGAGAAAACGUGUGACGAUAUUAGUGUCACUGUUAGAAAGAGGGGAAGAGUAAAGCUUAAAAAAUUGCCCUUGAGUAUUUGUUCUUUCAGGGACCAGACAACUCUCAAGGAAGAUACGAAUAAUGGAAGUUCCCCAAUAUUGACUGGGCAAAACACGGGGUCACCCACAUCUGAAAAAGUUGUUUUGCAAAACACGGGGUCACCCACAUCUGAAAAAGUUGUUUU
rnacentral:misc_RNA from 1 species